rnacentral:misc_RNA from 1 species
GAACAAGCCAAAAGCAGGAUUAAUCGUGGUAAAACCUCCAUCUAAAGCUAAAUUAUGCCCACUCAUGUACUUGGAUUCAUCACUCCCUAAAUAAAUUGCAGCUUCAGCUACAUCUUCUUUUUUAAGCUUCACCCCUUCAAGAUUUGAGCAUACACCAUUAGACCCUCCGUCCUCUUCCAUCUUGAAGAAGUUCAUUAUCAAUGGUGUUUCAGUGACGUAAGGUGACAAACAAUUCACUCGAAUCCUAAACCGCCGAAGCUCUGCUGCGGCGUUCUUUGGUAGACCCACAAUAGCAUGUUUUGUGCUAGUGUAUGCGUGAGAUGCAACCCCACCAACGCUAGAACAAACACUUCCUAGCGUAAUUAUGCUACCUUGACGAUUAGGAAUCAUCACUCGAGCAGCGUGUUUUGUUCCCAAGAAAACUCCUAUCAGGUUAACCCUCACCACUCGCUCAAAAUCAGUUAACUCGUUGUCGAUGAUGCUGGGUUUGCGUGGAUCGCCUACGACUGCAUUGUUCACCAUUAUGUCGAGCUUUACAAAGGUGGAGAUUGCAAUAUCAACAGCCUUUUCGAUGUCGGAUUCUAUGGUUACAUCACAAUGCACAAACGCAUCCAUAUUGGCUCCAAGGUCUUUAGACACUAACUGGCCUAAUUCGUCUUGGAUAUCAGCAAUUAUUACUUUAGCCCCGUGUUUGCAAAAGCUUCUGGCUAUGCACUCACCAAUGCUUGUAGCCCCUCCGGUGAUUAGUGCUACCUUACCUUCCAACCUACGACAUUUUUAAG